AUUGAACGCUGGCGGCAGGCUUAACACAUGCAAGUCGAACGAGUGGCGGACGGGUGAGUAAUGCUUGGGAAUCUCGCUUAUGGAGGGGGAUAACUACGGGAAACUGUCGCUAAUACCGCGUACCAUAGGCUGAGCCCAAGUGGGAUUAGGUAGUGGGUGGGGUAAAGGCGCACCAGGCCGACGAUCUCUAGCUGGUCUGAGGGGAUGACCAGCCACGAUGGGACUGAGACACGGCCCAGACUCCUACGGGAGGCAGCAGGGGGGAAUAUUGCGCAAUGAGGGGAACCUGACGCAGCCAGGCCGCGUGAAUGAAGAAGGCAUACGAGUUGUAAAGUUCUUUCGGUAGCGAAGCGUUAACUACAGAAGAAGCACCGGCUAACUCCGUGCCAGCAGCCGCGUAAUUC
rnacentral:rRNA from 1 species